rnacentral:rRNA from 1 species
GACGAACGCUGGCGGCGUGCUUAACACAUGCAAGUCGAACGGAAAGGCCCUGCUUUGGUGGGGUGCUCGAGUGGCGAACGGGUGAGUAACACGUGAGUAACCUGCCCUUGACUGUGGGAUAACUUCAGGAAACUGGGGCUAAUACCGGAUAGGAGCUCCUGCUGCAUGGUGGGGGUUGGAAAGUUUCGGUGGUUGGGGGUGGACUCGCGGCUUAUCGGCUUGUUGGUUGGGUAGUGUCUUACCAAGGCUUGGACGGGUAGCCUGCCUGAGCGGGGGACCUGACACAUUGCGCUUGAGCUACGGCACAGACCCGUCCGGGACGCAGCAGUGCGGAAUAGUGCAUUAUGGGCUGAAGGCUGAUGUAGUACCGCAGCGCCCGGUAUGAGGUGCUUCCCGUUGUAUUGUACUGUUGUUUGUGCCGAAGUGUUAGUGACGGUAACGGGUAAAUAAGCACCGGCUAACUACGUG